GGCCGGAGAACCGGUGCAUUGGUGCGCGCCCGGGAUCCGAACCCGGGCCGCCAGCAGUGGAGUGCACGCACUUAACCACUAAGCCAUGGGGCCAGCCCCGAAAUGUUCCUUUUUGAGUGUCUGCAGAAAGCCACGGCCUUUCUGAUAUUUCCAGAGGUGAGGUUUAACCACGUCAUUGUAACAGAGAAUGAGGGAGACUGCAGAGCACUAGAGAGGUGUAGCUUGAGGCGGGUGGGAAACUCAGUAGUGUUUAGGGAUGGGUGUCAGGGAUUAAAGGGGACCUUUGAGAUGGUGCCUUAGUGGUAGGAUCUGCCUGGACAAAUGUGAUCACGCUGUGCAGAACAAGUUUAGAUUGAGACGUAGAUUAUUAGCCUGAAAGAAACUGGGUGAACUCUUGGGGUCUUGACCCAACGUUGCCUGUGAAGCCCUGGACAGGUGACCAUCCUGGUGCCAUUUCCCCGUUGACAGGAUGAGAGACUGAAUUAAAACUUACAAUAAUGAGUUCACAAAUUUGUGAGUUCUGGUGGUCUGUGUCCUUUUGUGGCUGGUCCCCUCUGCCCUCCGCUCCAUCAGGUCAGCUUGAGACAGCCAGGCACAAGGACUGUGGAUGAAUGAGUCCGUGGAAAAACCAUGAGGUCCCCUGUCCCCACAAGGGUGGCUUUGGAGGGCGGUGCUCUGAGAUGCUGGGGUGGCGUGCAGGGUUGUAGGGACCUCAGAAGGCAUCUCUGCAGGGGGAGAACGGCUGGAGAUCAGACAGGAGCAUGCUCUGGUCCUGUUACGCCUCCCAGCGUGAGAUUCGGCUUUGGACUUAGUUUGGAUUUAGUGCCCAGUGCAGGGACGCAGGAAUGUGGUGCUGCAGACCACAGAGACGGCCCUUGUGGACACACGGCGUCAGUGACUCCUUGGACGCGAGCGUGCAGAUGAGGUGCCUCCUGGCCCUGGAGGCUCCCCGAGAAGAGGGGGUCCGCUCUGAAGUUGGGUCUUAUCUUCUAUAAAUUUGAGAAACGAGUUUUGUCGGGGCCCCGGGACAGGCAGCCGGAAGCCGCGUCCGAGCGCGUGCCUCCCGAGCCUCGUGUCUGAGUGAGUGACCUCGCUCCCAGGAACGUGCCUCAGGCUCCCGG